rnacentral:rRNA from 1 species
ACUAAGCGUACACGGUGGAUGCCCUGGCAGUCAGAGGCGAUGAAGGACGUGCUAAUCUGCGAUAAGCGUCGGUAAGGUGAUAUGAACCGUUAUAACCGGCGAUUUCCGAAUGGGGAAACCCAGUGUGUUUCGACACACUAUCAUUAACUGAAUCCAUAGGUUAAUGAGGCGAACCGGGGGAACUGAAACAUCUAAGUACCCCGAGGAAAAGAAAUCAACCGAGAUUCCCCCAGUAGCGGCGAGCGAACGGGGAGCAGCCCAGAGCCUGAAUCAGUGUGUGUGUUAGUGGAAGCGUCUGGAAAGGCGCGCGAUACAGGGUGACAGCCCCGUACACAAAAAUGCACAUGCUGUGAGCUCGAUGAGUAGGGCGGGACACGUGGUAUCCUGUCUGAAUAUGGGGGGACCAUCCUCCAAGGCUAAAUACUCCUGACUGACCGAUAGUGAACCAGUACCGUGAGGGAAAGGCGAAAAGAACCCCGGCGAGGGGAGUGAAAAAGAACCUGAAACCGUGUACGUACAAGCAGUGGGAGCACGCUUAGGCGUGUGACUGCGUACCUUUUGUAUAAUGGGUCAGCGACUUAUAUUCUGUAGCAAGGUUAACCGAAUAGGGGAGCCGAAGGGAAACCGAGUCUUAACUGGGCGUUAAGUUGCAGGGUAUAGACCCGAAACCCGGUGAUCUAGCCAUGGGCAGGUUGAAGGUUGGGUAACACUAACUGGAGGACCGAACCGACUAAUGUUGAAAAAUUAGCGGAUGACUUGUGGCUGGGGGUGAAAGGCCAAUCAAACCGGGAGAUAGCUGGUUCUCCCCGAAAGCUAUUUAGGUAGCGCCUCGUGAAUUCAUCUCCGGGGGUAGAGCACUGUUUCGGCAAGGGGGUCAUCCCGACUUACCAACCCGAUGCAAACUGCGAAUACCGGAGAAUGUUAUCACGGGAGACACACGGCGGGUGCUAACGUCCGUCGUGAAGAGGGAAACAACCCAGACCGCCAGCUAAGGUCCCAAAGUCAUGGUUAAGUGGGAAACGAUGUGGGAAGGCCCAGACAGCCAGGAUGUUGGCUUAGAAGCAGCCAUCAUUUAAAGAAAGCGUAAUAGCUCACUGGUCGAGUCGGCCUGCGCGGAAGAUGUAACGGGGCUAAACCAUGCACCGAAGCUGCGGCAGCGACGCUGAUGCGUUGUUGGGUAGGGGAGCGUUCUGUAAGCCUGCGAAGGUGUGCUGUGAGGCAUGCUGGAGGUAUCAGAAGUGCGAAUGCUGACAUAAGUAACGAUAAAGCGGGUGAAAAGCCCGCUCGCCGGAAGACCAAGGGUUCCUGUCCAACGUUAAUCGGGGCAGGGUGAGUCGACCCCUAAGGCGAGGCCGAAAGGCGUAGUCGAUGGGAAACAGGUUAAUAUUCCUGUACUUGGUGUUACUGCGAAGGGGGGACGGAGAAGGCUAUGUUGGCCGGGCGACGGUUGUCCCGGUUUAAGCGUGUAGGCUGGUUUUCCAGGCAAAUCCGGAAAAUCAAGGCUGAGGCGUGAUGACGAGGCACUACGGUGCUGAAGCAACAAAUGCCCUGCUUCCAGGAAAAGCCUCUAAGCAUCAGGUAACAUCAAAUCGUACCCCAAACCGACACAGGUGGUCAGGUAGAGAAUACCAAGGCGCUUGAGAGAACUCGGGUGAAGGAACUAGGCAAAAUGGUGCCGUAACUUCGGGAGAAGGCACGCUGAUAUGUAGGUGAAGUCCCUCGCGGAUGGAGCUGAAAUCAGUCGAAGAUACCAGCUGGCUGCAACUGUUUAUUAAAAACACAGCACUGUGCAAACACGAAAGUGGACGUAUACGGUGUGACGCCUGCCCGGUGCCGGAAGGUUAAUUGAUGGGGUUAGCGCAAGCGAAGCUCUUGAUCGAAGCCCCGGUAAACGGCGGCCGUAACUAUAACGGUCCUAAGGUAGCGAAAUUCCUUGUCGGGUAAGUUCCGACCUGCACGAAUGGCGUAAUGAUGGCCAGGCUGUCUCCACCCGAGACUCAGUGAAAUUGAACUCGCUGUGAAGAUGCAGUGUACCCGCGGCAAGACGGAAAGACCCCGUGAACCUUUACUAUAGCUUGACACUGAACAUUGAGCCUUGAUGUGUAGGAUAGGUGGGAGGCUUUGAAGUGUGGACGCCAGUCUGCAUGGAGCCGACCUUGAAAUACCACCCUUUAAUGUUUGAUGUUCUAACGUUGACCCGUGAUCCGGGUUGCGGACAGUGUCUGGUGGGUAGUUUGACUGGGGCGGUCUCCUCCUAAAGAGUAACGGAGGAGCACGAAGGUUGGCUAAUCCUGGUCGGACAUCAGGAGGUUAGUGCAAUGGCAUAAGCCAGCUUGACUGCGAGCGUGACGGCGCGAGCAGGUGCGAAAGCAGGUCAUAGUGAUCCGGUGGUUCUGAAUGGAAGGGCCAUCGCUCAACGGAUAAAAGGUACUCCGGGGAUAACAGGCUGAUACCGCCCAAGAGUUCAUAUCGACGGCGGUGUUUGGCACCUCGAUGUCGGCUCAUCACAUCCUGGGGCUGAAGUAGGUCCCAAGGGUAUGGCUGUUCGCCAUUUAAAGUGGUACGCGAGCUGGGUUUAGAACGUCGUGAGACAGUUCGGUCCCUAUCUGCCGUGGGCGCUGGAGAACUGAGGGGGGCUGCUCCUAGUACGAGAGGACCGGAGUGGACGCAUCACUGGUGUUCGGGUUGUCAUGCCAAUGGCACUGCCCGGUAGCUAAAUGCGGAAGAGAUAAGUGCUGAAAGCAUCUAAGCACGAAACUUGCCCCGAGAUGAGUUCUCCCUGACUCCUUGAGAGUCCUGAAGGAACGUUGAAGACGACGACGUUGAUAGGCCGGGUGUGUAAGCGCAGCGAUGCGUUGAGCUAACCGGUACUAAUGAACCGUGAGGCUUAACC